CCUACGGGCGGCAGCAGUGAGGAAUAUUGGUCAAUGGGCGCGAGCCUGAACCAGCCAAGUAGCGUGAAGGAUGACUGCCCUACGGGUUGUAAACUUCUUUUAUACAGGAAUAAAGUGAGGCACGUGUGCCUUUUUGCAUGUACUUUAUGAAUAAGGAUCGGCUAACUCCGUGCCAGCAGCCGCGGUAAUACGGAGGAUCCGAGCGUUAUCCGGAUGUAUUGGGUUUCAAGGGGGCGUAGACGGGUUGUUAAGUCAGUUGUGAAAGUAUGGGGCUCAACCGUAGAAGUGCAGUUGAUACUGGCAGCCUUGAGUUCAGUUGAGGUAGGCGGAAUGCGUGGUGUAGCGGUGAAAUGCUUAGAUAUCACGAAGAACUCCGAUUGCGAAGGCAGCCUACUAAAC
rnacentral:rRNA from 1 species